GUGUCAGCCGCCGCGGUAAUACGUAGGUGGCGAGCGUUGUCCGGAUUUACUGGGCGUAAAGGGAGCGUAGGCGGUUUUUUAAGUGGGGUGUGAAAUCCCUGGGCUUAACCCAGGAAUUGCAUUCCAAACUGGAAGACUAGAGUGCAGGAGAGGAAAGUGGAAUUCCAAGUGUAGCGGUGAAAUGCGUAGAGAUUUGGAGGAACACCAGUGGCGAAGGCGACUUUCUGGACUGUAACUGACGCUGAGGCUCGAGAGCGUGGGGAGCAAACAGGAUUAGAAACCCCGGUAGUCC
rnacentral:rRNA from 1 species